rnacentral:rRNA from 1 species
GCCCUUCUUCGGGGGGUGCCCUAGCGGCGAACGGGUGAGUAACACGUGGGCAACCUGCCCUCAGCUCUGGGAUAACUCCAAGAAAUUGGUGCUAAUACCGGAUGUGACCGCUGACCGCAUGGUCUGGUGGUGGAAAGAUUCAUCGGCUGAGGAUGGGCCCGCGGCCUAUCAGCUUGUUGGUGGGGUAAUGGCCCACCAAGGCGACGACGGGUAGCCGGCCUGAGAGGGUGACCGGCCACACUGGGACUGAGACACGGCCCAGACUCCUACGGGAGGCAGCAGUGGGGAAUAUUGCGCAAUGGGCGAAAGCCUGACGCAGCGACGCCGCGUGAGGGAUGACGGCCUUCGGGUUGUAAACCUCUUUCAGUAGGGACGAAGCGCAAGUGACGGUACCUACAGAAGAAGCACCGGCCAACUACGUGCCAGCAGUCGCGGUAAUACGUAGGGUGCAAGCGUUGUCCGGAAUUAUUGGGCGUAAAGAGCUCGUAGGCGGUCUGUCACGUCGGCUGUGAAAACCCGAGGCUCAACCUCGGGCCUGCAGUCGAUACGGGCAAACUAGAGUACUGCAGGGGAGACUGGAAUUCCUGGUGUAGCGGUGAAAUGCGCAGAUAUCAGGAGGAACACCGGUGGCGAAGGCGGGUCUCUGGGCAGUAACUGACGCUGAGGAGCGAAAGCGUGGGGAGCGAACAGG